UAUAUUUAUAUUUUUUGGGCCGGCUAAUGUUGUGGUAAUGUUAUUUCAACCUGCUAGCUAGCAGAUAGAUUAUGCUAAUCUUAGCUGUGGUAAUGUCAUUUCUACCUGCUAGCGAGCUAAAUCUGGUUAAAACAUUAGGUAACAAAGUAAGAUUAAUUACUGUAGAUUAAUCACUGUAUUUGAGUGAUUGUUAAUGGUUAGUGGUUAUCUUUCAAAUGAUGCCUGUGAGGCACUUGACGUUGAGACUGGUUGACUUCCAGGCUGCUUUGGAAUAAGGAUACCUCUGAGGCAGCCACCAGUUUUUGGAUAACUCUGAGGCAUCAUAGGUAGUGUUGACUGCCAGGCUGCCUAGUCGUUGGUAUACAGGUUAACUCACAGGCAUCCAGUUGGUUUUAGAUACCUGUAAGGCAUCUAGACGGACAUUAAGAGGGCUGACUCCCAGGCUGCUUACUAACACUGGUUAGCUCUCAGGCAGCCAAUUAGCUUUGGAUGCCUUUGAGGCACCUGACGUUGAGACUGGUUGACUGUAGACUGAUAUCCCUUAGUUAAAUUGUCCUCAUGCCUCCUCAUACAGAUAGGCCUAUUGAAUAAAUCUGCCAGAUUAUUUUUAACAUUGCAUAUGCCUAACAUUAUGUGAUAAUACUAAUCACACUCAUAUUGCCUUUCUCUUUCAGUUUAUGAAGAAAUGGCACCCAGGAAGGUAGGACGGAAGCGGAAGGCCCUGCAGGUGUCAAAAGGUGGACCAUCUGCAAAGAUCGCAAUUUUCCACCAGUCACCACUGGUUGGUGGAGCCUCCGCCCCAGCCCCA